rnacentral:rRNA from 1 species
GGCGAAAGCCGGAUUAAUACCGCAUACGACCUGAGGGUGAAAGCGGGGGAUCGCAAGACCUCGCGCUACUGGAGCGGCCGAUAUCAGAUUAGCUAGUUGGUGGGGUAAAGGCCUACCAAGGCAACGAUCUGUAGUUGGUCUGAGAGGACGACCAGCCACACUGGGACUGAGACACGGCCCAGACUCCUACGGGAGGCAGCAGUGGGGAAUUUUGGACAAUGGGCGCAAGCCUGAUCCAGCAAUGCCGCGUGCAGGAAGAAGGCCUUCGGGUUGUAAACUGCUUUUGUCAGGGAAGAAAUCUUCUGGGCUAAUACCCCGGGAGGAUGACGGUACCUGAAGAAUAAGCACCGGCUAACUACGUGCCAGCAGCCGCGGUAAUACGUAGGGUGCGAGCGUUAAUCGGAAUUACUGGGCGUAAAGCGUGCGCAGGCGGCUUUGCAAGACAGAGGUGAAAUCCCCGGGCUCAACCUGGGAACUGCCUUUGUGACUGCAAGGCUAGAGUACGGCAGAGGGGGAUGGAAUUCCGCGUGUAGCAGUGAAAUGCGUAGAUAUGCGGAGGACACCGAUGGCGAAG